UCAGAGUAAUUAAAAAUAAUUUAAUUAGUUAAUAUUUUGAAUUUUUUUUUUGAUUGAUAAAAAUAAUUUAGUUAAUAUUUCAUAAUUAUUAAAAAUAUUUUUAUAGGAAUUAAAGGUUAAUCGUUAAAGAAUAUAUCUAAUUUUUUAAGAGAUUAAUUGAAUUAAUAAUUUAUAAAAAUUAAAAUUAUACUUGUUUAAUAAAAUUUUUUUAAAUUAAAAAUUUAAAGGGAUAAGCUUUUAAAUUUUUUUAUAUAAUUAAUUUAAUUUUAUAAAUAAUAGAAUUAAUAUUUUUCAUUUAUUAUUAUAUUUUUAUUAAAAAUUAUUAAAUUUAAUAAAUUUUAAAUUAAUUAUUAAUUAAUUUAUUAAAAAAUUAAUUUUAAUUUAUUAAAUUAAGAUAAAAUGAUUAAAUUAGUAUAAAAAGAUUUAUUUAAUAGAAAUUAAUUAAAUUUAUUUAAAAUGAAUUCGGCAAAAUAAUUUUUACCUGUUUAUCAAAAACAUGUCUGUUUGUAAAAGAAUAAAUAGUCAAAUCUGCCCAUUGAAAUUUUAAAGGCUGCAGUAAAUUGACUGUACAAAGGUAGCAUAAUCAUUAGUUUUUUAAUUGAAAACUUGUAUGAAUGAUUUAAUAAAAAAUUAACUUUAUUUUGAAUAUUUUUAAAAUUUUUUAUUUAAGUGAAAAAACUUAAAUUUAUAAAAAAGACAAUAAGACCCUAUAAAACUUUAUUUAUUAAAUUAUUUAUAAUUAAUUAAAUUUAAUUGGGGAAAUUUUUAAAUAUAAUUAAUUUUAAAUAAAAUAAUUUUUUUAAAAAAAUAUAAUGAUCUUUUAUUAAAAGAUUGAUGAAUUAGUUGCUUUAGGGAUAACAGCGUUAUAGCUUAUUAUAGUUCUUAUUUAAUAA
rnacentral:rRNA from 1 species